CCUUCGAUAGCUCAGUUGGUAGAGCGGUGGACUGUAGAAAUGUUUGGACUCGUAGAUCCCUCUUUGAAAUGGAGGGCUAUGGAGCAGUAAUCCAUAGGUCGCUGGUUCAAAUCCGGCUCGAAGGA
rnacentral:tRNA from 1 species